rnacentral:rRNA from 1 species
CCCUUAGAUGUCCUGGGCCGCACGCGCGCUACACUGACUAGUGCAACAAGUGUUAAUCUUGGUCGAAAGGCCUGGAGACUCUUUGAACGCUAGUCGUGAUGGGGAUAGAUUCUUGGAAUUUUUAAUCUUGAACGAGGAAUCCCUAGUAAACGCAAGUCAUCAACUUGCAUUGAUUACGUCCCUGCCCUUUGUACACACCGCCCGUCGCACCUACCGAUUGAAUGGUCCGGUGAAGUCUCUGGACUGGCCUCCACCUUGUGUGAGGGCUGGGAAGUUGACUAAACCUUNCNAUUUAGNGGAAGGUGAANUCGUANCA